UGGGGAAUAUUGGACAAUGGGCGCAAGCCUGAUCCAGCCAUGCCGCGUGAGUGAUGAAGGCCCUAGGGUUGUAAAGCCCUUUCACCGGUGAAGAUAAUGACGGUAACCGGAGAAGAAGCCCCGGCUAACUUCGUGCCAGCAGCCGCGGUAAUACGAAGGGGGCUAGCGUUGUUCGGAUUUACUGGGAGUAAAGCGCACGUAGGCGGACUAUUAAGUCAGGGGUGAAAUCCCGGGGCUCAACCCCGGAACUGCCUUUGAUACGGGUAGUCUGGAGUACGAGAGAGGUGAGUCGAAUUCCGAGUGUAGAGGUGAAAUUCGUAGAUAUUCGGAGGAACACCAGUGGCGAAGGCGGGUCACUGGCUCGAUACUGUCGCUGAGGUGCGAAAGCGUGGGGAGCAAACAGG
rnacentral:rRNA from 1 species